AGUAACGCGUGAGGAACCUGCCUUCCAGAGGGGGGACAACAGUUGGAAACGACUGCUAAUACCGCAUGAUGCGUUGGAGCCGCAUGACUCCGACGUCAAAGAUUUAUCGCUGGAAGAUGGCCUCGCGUCUGAUUAGCUAGUUGGUGAGGUAACGGCCCACCAAGGCGACGAUCAGUAGCCGGACUGAGAGGUUGGCCGGCCACAUUGGGACUGAGAUACGGCCCAGACUCCUACGGAAGGCAGCAG
rnacentral:rRNA from 1 species